UACGGGGGGGGUAAGCGUUGUUCGGAAUUACUGGGCGUAAAGGGCUCGUAGGCGGCCAACUAAGUCAUACGUGAAAUCCCUCAGCUUAACUGGGGAACUGCGUGUGAUACUGGAUGGCUUGGAUUUGGGAGAGGGAUGCGGAAUUCCAGGUGUAGCGGUGAAAUGCGUAGAUAUCUGGAGGAACACCGGUGGCGAAGGCGGCAUCCUGGACCGGUAUUGACGCUGAGGCGCGAAAGCGUGGGGAGCAAACAGG
rnacentral:rRNA from 1 species